rnacentral:rRNA from 1 species
AUUGAACGCUGGCGGCAGGCCUAACACAUGCAAGUCGAGCGGAGCGGCGGACGGGUGCGUAAUGCCUAGGACUCUGCCUGGUCGUGGGGGAUAACGUCAGGAAACGGGCGCUAAUACCGCUUACUAUCAGCUGAGCCUAGGUCGGAUUAGCUAGUUGGUGGGGUAAAGGACUACCAAGGCGACGAUCCGUAACUGGUCUGAGAGGAUGAGCAGUCACACUGGAACUGAGACACGGUCCAGACUCCUACGGGAGGCAGCAGUGGGGAAUAUUGGACAAUGGGCGAAAGCCUGAUCCAGCCAUGCCGCGUGUGUGAAGAAGGUCUUCGGAUUGUAAAGCACUUUAAGGUGGGAGGCGUUACCAGCAGAAGAAGCACCGGCUAACUUCGUGCCAGCCGCCGCGGUAAUAC